AGGAUAAACGCUGGCGGCGUGCCUAACACAUGCAAGUCGAACGCGCUUUCGGGCUUCGGUGCGAGAGCGAGUGGCGGACGGGUGAGUAACACAUGGGUACCUACCUUGGAGUGAGGGAUACCGGCGAGAAAUCGCCGACAAUACCGCAUAGGCUUCUUCACAAGGGAAGCAAAGUGACGCGAGUCACGCUUUGAGAUGGGCCUGUGGCCGAUUAGCUAGUUGGGGGGGUAACGGCUUCCCAAGGCGACGAUCGGUAGCUGGUCUGAGAGGACGAUCAGCCACACUGGGAUUGAGAACGGCCCAGACUCCUACGGGGGGCAGCAGUGAGGAAUUUUCCGCAAUGGAGGCAACUCUGACGGAGCAACGCCGCGUGCAGGAGGAAGGUUUUCGGAUCGUAAACUGCUUUUCUCGGGGACGAGCAAGGACGGUACCGAGGAAGAAGCCCGGCUAACUACGCGCCAGCAGCCGC
rnacentral:rRNA from 1 species